UACGUAGGGGGCAAGCGUUGUCCGGAUUUACUGGGUGUAAAGGGCGCGCAGGCGGGUUGACAAGUCCGAGGUGAAAUCCUACAGCUUAACUGUAGAACUGCCUUUGAGACUGUCAGUCUUGAGUACGGAAGAGAGAGAUGGAAUUCCAGGUGUAGUGGUGAAAUACGUAGAUAUCUGGAAGAACACCAGUGGCGAAGGCGGUCUCUUGGUCCAUUACUGACGCUAAGGCGCGAAAGCGUGGGGAGCAAACAGG
rnacentral:rRNA from 1 species